rnacentral:tRNA from 1 species
GAGAGAGUAUGCCACAAUCUGAGAGACUGCUAACCUCUUAAAUCCGCGGUUGAAAUCCGCGGCUCACUCG